CCUCCUCCUGAUCGAAGCCCGUGUUCCGGCAGUACAACUGCUCCAAUAGGAAUCCAUGGGUACCCGAUCCAGAUUUCACAGGGACUUCGGUGCCGUAAAAGGAAGCCGUCGACCAGAUUCUCGGUUAAUCCCAUCGCACUCCCGAUCCAGCACCUUCUCCGUGCGCUGCUCUCGAUCCCCUUCUCCCUGUGCUGCUUGAUGGGUAGCCGUGCUGGACGGUGUGGAGGCGUCGAGGCGUCGCUAUCCUGCAAAUCUAUGGCGGAUCAAGUUCCCCUAUGGACGUCGCAUGUGAGGCUCGGCCUUGCCCGAUGCACUCGCGGCUAAGUCUAGGUCGAGUGAGGCGCGGGGGAGGCAGGAGGGGCGCCGACCGGACGGCUGAAUACGGUGCUCAGUGCUAGGGGUUACAGCUGAUCACAGGUGCAGCACCUUCAGCGGCCGGCACCCAGCUCUGGGGCGUUCGAUCCGGUGGUGCGUUCACGUGCCGUGUGAUUUCCCCCUGUAACUUCGGUCGCCUUCCAUCUCCAGGGACAAUGGCAAGCUCCGUCCGGCCGACGGCAAGGUACCCAGGAGAAGCGGAUGGCUGACGUGUAGACCACAGCAAACGAUCAGUAUGCAGAUGGGAUGGCAACGACUAUUCCUUGAUUGAAGGAUGCAAUGCAUCUCGCUGAAUUCCAAGCUGUACAAUUUUGGUUCUGCCUAGAUACCUAGGCAGGGGAGAUCAAAUCUGCAAGUUGGGUAGAAAGCUAGGCAUGAUUCUCGGUCUAGGCGAGGUGCAGCGACAUGGAGCUGCUUGGCGAAACAAGUUCAGAGUGGUGCCUUGGAACAUCAAUCCAUGAUAAUGUCGUCAGGUCUUCGAAGUUUCAAAUGGCAUUUUAAAAAUUCUUCUCUCAUCCUGGAGUAUGUUCACUGACGAAUCUCACACAGGACCUCAUCAUCAAUGCGGUGCAUAUGUGGUUAGCAGGAAAAAAACUAAAAGUGCCUUCCUCCAGGCCAUGACCCCUGCAUGUUGCAUGUCCCGUAUGUCUAUACUAAUGGCCAUGGGGGUCAUUCAGUGCAGUACAUAAGAUACAAUAAUCUUUCACAUCAAGUCUUGCACAAAAAAAAUCAAGGCAGCAGUUCUAUGUUUAUGUUGUGCUUGAUUUCCAUUUUUUUGCAUUCCGGUUUUGUUUCUUUUUGAAUAAAAAUGUUACUCCAAAGAAUAUUUCAGAGUGUCUCUUAGGAAACCAAGACGUGAUAGGGCCGUCACAUUUUUGGUUUUCCAAAUGGCCUUUUAAAAGUCCUUAUCUCAUUCUAGCCUAUGUUCGUGCGAUGGAUCUCACGCACAACCUCAUUAGCGAUUUUUGCAUAAGCUUGGAACCAAUCAAGAAUUGCAUCAACUAGAUGCACAGAGGGAAUCUGAUGUUGCGAGAGACAUCACACCAGAAGACAAGCCGACUAAUGUCCACGCUCAAGAUAUCGACGCCAUUUGCAUAGCCUGAUUCUCGUGUCUUCUAUGUUAUGUUCUCCCGUUACAACGCACGGGCAUAUUUUCUAGUUUAUUACAAAGUUCACAAAAAAUAAAGCCAAACAUCAAAAGAGAAAACAUCAGCUUAAUUAGAACCAACAUCUCAUAGAAACUAAUCAAGUGACACCAAUUUGGGAGUCACAUGAAGGAUUCCAUUUUAAAAAUAAUGCACCAAUUAGUUUGCAUUAAAGCUUAUGUUAGAGGUGAAUCUUAUGCUAAUACUUCAAAAUACCCUGUGUAUUGUUUAUGUAGACCGGAUCUCAAGUUGUUUAUUCAAAGUAUGCUGGACAGAGGUUGAAUACAACAACUCUAAGCAUCUCAUUAUGAAAGAGGAUGACAUCGUGGGUAUUCUUGAAUCUGAUGAUGUCAAAGACGUGAAGCCUCUCAAUGACCAGGUGCUGAUCAAGGUUGCAGAGGCUUUAGACAAGACUGAAGUUGCUCUUAUCCUCACCGAGAGAACCAAGGAGAAGCCAUCCAUUGGAACAAUAUAAGUUAUUAUCACUCAGUAGAAUCCAUGAUGAACGAGCAGGUGUUUAACCGAUUCACCUCUAA